UGUAGCAUUGACCCAAUACACAUUGAUGAUCCUCUUUUCCCAACUAAUAAUGUGGGGCGCAAUUGCUUCCGGAUACAUCAGUGUAUCAAGGCAUUUUCAGAAGCAUAUUCUAUUUUGGAGAAUGAGCUUGCUUCUCUUCCCAUUGAUGAUGGUGAUUUAUGUUCAAGGCCCUCAUAUAGACUGCUUUCUAAAAUCAUCCCGAGUAUUGAUCUAUCAUAGCGAUGCUUAUUGCAUGGAAAGUUGUAUGCCUUUGAAGGGGAAAUCUAAAUCAUUGAUCAAGCUAAAGUGUUCUUUUGGUGCGAACCGGAGGUUGCAAUAUGAUUGCCUUCCACACUUUUGAUGCAGAUACGAACUCUCCUUGUUACGGUUCUGCUACAGGGUUUGUCCAGAAAAAAGCAAGGUUCAGCGAACCACCAAAUCACUAUGAAUUUUUUCACAGGUUAGGUGCAGCCAUAUUGUCGUUAAAGACUGGAUUUUCACCUAUCAUGCAACUGUUCCAAGUUCAUAUUUGCCGAAUUUGCUUGAUGAUCUUGACGUCAUGUGAUCGGUAGUUUCCUGAGAUAUAUUUAUACCCCGGAGUGGUGAGGAUGGCCAAUAAGGCUGAUCUUGUGGAGGGGACCAGGAACAACCUGAAAACGGGCUCAUAUCCGAUUCUCCAGGUCAGCCCUCAGGCUUGAUUCUGCAGGUCACUACACUGAAAAUGAACAUUUGAGCUGAAAAAAUCUUAAACCAAUUGUACACAUAGGUGUAUAAAUCUUAUACCAAUCGUACAUAUGUUUACGUCAAAGUCAGGUUGAUAUCAUCUGACUAGCAUAGAUUUUGAGUACUUGUCAAAAAUUAAACUGUAGAUUGUGUGUAGCUUAGCUAUUUACCUAGCACAAGAUAGAGGUGGGUCAGUAGUUAGAUGAUUAUACUUUGUGAAGUAACAGAAAUGUAUUGGGAUUAGGAUAAAAAAAUUAUUCAACUGUA